rnacentral:rRNA from 1 species
GCCGUAACUAUAACGGUCCUAAGGUAGCGAAAUUCCUUGUCGGUUAAAUACCGACCUGCAUGAAUGGCGUAACGAGAUGGGAGCUGUCUCAACCAGAGAUUCAGUGAAAUUGUAGUGGAGGUGAAAAUUCCUCCUACCCGCGGCAAGACGGAAAGACCCCGUGGACCUUUACUACAACUUAGCACUGCUAAUGGGAAUAUCAUGCGCAGGAUAGGUGGGAGGCUUUGAAGUAAGGGCUUUGGCUCUUAUGGAGUCA